GACGAACGCUGGCGGCGUGCCUAAUACAUGCAAGUCGAACGCUGAAGGAGGAGCUUGCUUCUCCGGAUGAGUUGCGAACGGGUGAGUAACGCGUAGGUAACCUGCCUGGUAGCGGGGGAUAACUAUUGGAAACGAUAGCUAAUACCGCAUAACAGUAGAUAUUGCAUGAUAUCUGCUUGAAAGGUGCAAUUGCAUCACUACCAGAUGGACCUGCGUUGUAUUAGCUAGUUGGUGAGGUAACGGCUCACCAAGGCGACGAUACAUAGCCGACCUGAGAGGGUGAUCGGCCACACUGGGACUGAGACACGGCCCAGACUCCUACGGGAGGCAGCAGUAGGGAAUCUUCGGCAAUGGACGGAAGUCUGACCGAGCAACGCCGCGGGAGUGAAGAAGGGUGUCGGAUCGUAAAGCUCUGUUGUAAGAGAAGAACGAGUGUGAGAGUGGAAAGUUCACACUGUGACGGUAGCUGACCAGAAAGGGACGGCUAACUACGUG
rnacentral:rRNA from 1 species